rnacentral:lncRNA from 1 species
ACGAGGGCGGAAUGAACCACAAUCCAUAGCAGCAGGAAGGACUUCGAUAGCUCACACGCACUGAACAAAGAAGCACUCACAUUGUGAAGGAAGAGAUAUGCACUCACACUAAGGUUGCGGAGAAGAGGGAAAACCUUCUAACUAUGGGUUUUGUUGAAGAGGGAAAAUCAAUCUCCUAAAUGUUAAAGUUAAUUUCCUGACCCUUUAUCGGCGGCCAUAAUCCUUCGCU